AUACGAAACUCAUCGGAUUUCGC
rnacentral:snRNA from 1 species